rnacentral:rRNA from 1 species
GACGGGACCGCACAAGCGGUGGAUGAUGUGGUUAAUUCGAUGCAACGCGAAAACCUUACCCACCUUUGACAUGGCAGGAAUCCCGAAGAGAUUGGGAGUGCUCGAAAGAGAACCUGCACACAGGUGCUGCAUGGCUGUCGUCAGCUCGUGUCGUGAGAUGUUGGGUUAAGUCCCGCAACGAGCGCAACCCUUGCCAUUAGUUGCUACGAAAGGGCACUCUAAUGGGACUGCCGGUGACAAACCGGAGGAAGGUGGGGAUGACGUCAAGUCCUCAUGGCCCUUAUAGGUGGGGCUACACACGUCAUACAAUGGCCGGUACAGAGGGUAGCCAACCCGCGAGGGGGGAGCCAAUCCCACAAAGCCGGUCGUAGUCCGGAUCGCAGUCUGCAACUCGACUGCGUGAAGUCGGAAUCGCUAGUAAUCGCGGAUCAGCAUGUCGCGGUGAAUACGUUCCCGGGUCUU